UUCCGGUUGAUCCUGCCGGACCUGACUGCUAUCGGAUUGAUACUAAGCCAUGUGAGUCAUUGUAGCAAUACAAGGCAGACGGCUCAGUAACACGUAGUCAAUCUACCCUAUGGACGGGGAUAACCUCGGGAAACUGAGGAUAACACCCGAUAGAUCAUAAUUCCUGGAACGGUUUAUGGUCCAAAUGAUUCGUCGCCGUAGGAUGGGACUGCGGCCUAUCAGCUUGUUGGUGAGGUAAUGGCCCACCAAGGCUAUUACAGAUACGGGCUCUGAGAGGAGAAGCCCGGAGAUGGGUACUGAGACACGGACCCAGGUCCUAUGGGGCGCAGCAGGCGAGAAAACUUUGCAAUGUGCGAAAGCACGACAAGGUUAAUCCGAGUGUUUUCUGCUAAAGAAAUCUUUUGUUAGUUCUAAAACCACUAUCGAAUAAGGGGUGGGCAAGUUCUGGUGUCAGCCGCCGCGGUAAAACCAGCACCUCAAGUGGUCAGGAGGAUUAUUGGGCCUAAAGCAUCCGUAGCCAGCUAUGUUAGUUUUCGGUUAAAUCCAUGUGCUCAACAUAUGGGCUGUCGAGAAUACUGCAUAGCUAGGGAGUGGGAGAGGUAGACGGUACUCGGUAGGAAGGGGUAAAAUCCUUUGAUCUAUCGAUGACCACCAGUGGCGAAGGCGGUCUACCAGAACACGUCCGACGGUGAGGGAUAAAAGCUGGGGGAGCAAACCGGAUUAGAUACCCGGGUAGUCCCAGCUGUAAACGAUGCAGACUCGGUGAUGCGCCGGCUUGUGGCCAGUGCAGUGCCGCAGGA
rnacentral:rRNA from 1 species